rnacentral:ncRNA from 1 species
UAGCAAACAAGUACCGUGAGGGAAAGUUGCAAAGAACUUUGAAGAGAGAGUUCAAGAGAACGUGAAAUCGCUGAAGUGGAACCGGAGAGAGUUAACAUAACUUGGUAGCUAUAUCCUCUAAAGUCGCUUAACUGUGGCUCUGGGGGGUGGACGCUACCUGUUGUUGCACUGACUGCGUUGAUUGUGCUUUCCGAACAGUAUAGUGUUGCCCACUUUGUGGUGUCUUGCUUUCUGGGAGGUUUGUCAUAAUUAACGUAAAGCCAAUUCCCUUUGGAGUCAGUGUGAAAGUUAACCACCUUUCCGACCCGUCUUGAAACACGGACCGAGGAGUGUAAUUUAUACGCGAGUCAAGGGGUGGUGAAAACCCUAGGGGCGGAAUGAAAGUAAAGGCCGGUUAACCGGUUGACAUGGGAUCCGCUCUUCGGAGCGGCGCACCAUGGCCCUGUCUUGUCUGCUUGCAGAUGGGCAGCGGUAGAGCGUAUAGUUUGCGACCCGAAAGAUGGUGAACGUAUGCUUGAGCAGGACGAAGCCAGAGGAAACUCUGGUGGAAGUCCGUAUCGGUUCUGACGUGCAAAUCGAUCGAUAGACUUGGGUAUAGGGGCGAAAGACUAAUCGAACCGUCUAGUAGCUGGUUCCCUCCGAAGUUUCCCCCAGGAUAGCUGGAGUAGUGGUGCGUGGUUAUAUCCGGUAAAGCGAAUGAUUAGAGGACUUGGGGGCGAAACGAUCUCAACCUAUUCUCAAACUUUCAAUGGGUAUGAUGUCUCGGUUUCUUUAUUGAACUGUUGACAUGAACGUGUGCUCCAAGUGGGCCAUUUUUGGUAAGCAGAACUGGCGCUGUGGGAUGAACCAAACGCUGGGUUAAGGUGCCUAACUUUUCUCUCAUGAGACCCCAUAAAAGGCGUUGGUUGAUAUAGACAGCAGGACGGUGGCCAUGGAAGUCGGUACCCGCUAAGGAGUGUGUAACAACUCACCUGCCGAAUCAACUAGCCCUGAAAAUGGAUGGC